GACGAACGCUGGCGGCGUGCCUAAUACAUGCAAGUAGGACGCAGUUGCGAACGGGAGAGUAACGCGUAGGUAACUACCUAUUAGAGGGGGAUAACUAUUGGAAACGAUAGCUAAUACCGCAUACUAGUAGAUGGACCUGCGUUGUAUUAGCUAGUAGGUCGGGUAAUGGCCUAACUAGGCAACGGUACAUAACCGACCGGAGGAGGGGAACGGCCACACUGGGACUGAGACACGGGCCAAACUCCGACGGGAGGCAGCAGGAGGGAAUCUUCGGCAAUGGGGCGAACCCUGACCGCACAACGCCGCGGGAGGGAAGGAGGUUUUCGGAACGGAAAGCUCUGUUGUUAAGGAAGCGGUACUUAACCAGAAAGGGACGGCUAACUACGUGCCAGCAGCCGCGGUAAUAC
rnacentral:rRNA from 1 species